AAAUAUUUCCAAUUUUAUUCCAAAACAUUCAAAUCAUAAAUUACAUAAUCAAAUCCAGACCAAGUACAUCAUAAUAUCAGUUAUAAUUCACAAACCCUAAUUUAUUUCCUAACUAAAUCAAAUACAUAAUCAAAUCAAAUCUAAAUUUCCUAAAUCAAUUAAUCUAAUUAAAAUCCUAAACCUAAAAAUAAUCUAUAAAAAGGAAAAUGGAGAAAGAAAAAGGGGAAGAGAAUUUGUUGCUGCAACCAUCAAACACU
rnacentral:lncRNA from 1 species